CCAGCCCAUGAUGUGUGUGGGUCAGGAAACAUGGGAGAGAGGGGAGGACGGGUUUCAAGGCCAGGGGUGUUACCCCUGAAGUGGAGCCUGUCAUCGGGUACAAGUGAAAUGAAUCCAAGACUGAACUGGACCAGAGGACAAGCAUGACAGGAAGGAGGGGUCUGCAAUUUUGCCUGAAGUCAUUACCUCCGGAAAACGGAAAGUAAAUACAUGCUACUGCCACUCAAGA